rnacentral:lncRNA from 10 species
UGUCUUGGUCAUUCUCACAAAUACAUUCUUCCUUAGGAAAUUAAUAAUCAGUUUGAGUGCAGAAGCAUCUUCAGUUGGAGAGCCAUUGCCUCUUGCUGUGAAAUAUUUGGGAAUCUUCAGAAACCAUGAAGAAUAACCUGCUAAAGGCCACCAAGUUCUAUUGAACAUCAUGAAUCCUAUGCUCAAGUGAGAUCAGCUCAAGUGAGACCAGAUAUCUGAAGACCUUUUCAUUUUCGCCACCCUCAAAUGAAGGCAUGCAAGCUUAUGUUGACACAUCGUUCUAGGAAGAAAACAGAACAUUUCUGCUCAUCAGUGUUUUGCAGUAAGAACUUGUGACCCCUAAUUGUCAAUAUAUCCUGUGGGACGGUAGGAGAUAAAAACUAUCAUGUGGAAGAUGCCCUCCCUGUGCCAAGAGAAAAGAAACAUUCUUCCAUGAAGACUCAUAGCCGAGAUAAUUCCGUAUAAACAGACCUUGUUAAAAGAAUUAUCUCCCUUUGGCCUCCCCACAAAAUUUAGAUACUUUUCCACAAUUGCCUCUUUACAAAAUCAUGUAAGCCUUGCUUUUUUUUUUAUCUUCAUUUUCUCAUGAGGGCUCCUGUGUCAUGUAAAAUAUGUUAAAUUUAUACGCUUUUCUCUUGUUAAUUUAUCUUACGUCAAUUUAAUUCUCAAGCCCAGCAGAGACCCUAGAAGGGCAGAGGUAAAUUUUUGCCUGCACUACACUAUUGAUCCCAAAACACACACACAGAGAGAGAGAGAGAGAAAGAGAGAGAGAGAAACUCUCUUCCUAUUCUGUGCCAGUGAAAUUCUGCCAUCAGCAAAUAUAUCUUUUCUGACUUUGAAAAUACUGAUGACAGUGGAGAUUAAAAUCCUACCAAGGCUGCUGCAGAAUCAAUGACACAUGAGGUGGCCAGGCAUGGUGGCUCACGACUGUAAUCCCAGCACUUUGGGAGGCCAAGGUGGGUGGAUCCCCUGAAGCCAAGAGUUCAAGACCAGCCAGGCUAACAUGGUGAAACUCCAUCUCUACUAAAAAUACAAAAAAUUAGCCGGGUGUGGUGGCACAUGCCUGUAAUCCCAGCUACUCAGGAGGCAGAGAGAGGAGAAUUGCCUGAGCCCAGAAGGUGGAGGUUGCAGUGAGCCGAGAUCAUGCCACUGCACUCCAGCCUGGGUAACAGAGUGAGACUCCGUCUCAAAAAAAAAAACAAAAAACAAAAAACAAAAAAAAAACACAUGAAGCUUUACCAGAAGAUUUCAGUAUGUCCUCCAGUGCGUAAUUCAUUUGUUCAACAAUUUUUACUGGGCAGGCAUUCUAAUAGAUGUUGAGGAUAUCACAAUAAAUAAGGCAAACAAAAUCUCUACCCUAUGGUAGAGAUUUUGAAAUAUCAAAUUAUUAAGUUUUAGGAAAAUUCAAUGACAAAAAGAAAGUCUUAUAAUAUUACCAUGUCCAGAUAAUGUAAGUAUUUACACAUUACUAUUUCAAUUUCAUUCAAUUUUUUUCUAAACUUUUAUUUUUUCAAACAUGUAAUCAUAAUAUAUUAGUGCUAAGUAUUAAAACAAUUUCUUAAUUCCCAUGUAAAUUUAAGGGUAUUUAAGCUUUUUUUUUUUUUUUUUUGAGACGGAGUUACACUCUUGUUGCUCAGGCUGGAGCUCAAUGGCGCGAUCUCAGCUCACCGCAACCUCCGCCUCAUGAGGUUCAAGCAAUUCUCCUGCCUCAGCCACCCCAAGUAGCUAGAAUUACAGGCAUGCGCCACCACGCACGUGGAAUCAGUUGUAUUGUUUCAAUACAACUUUUGGAAAUAAAAGUAUGGCAAAUUCUCACUCUCUUCCUUAGGUAAGCACCAAACUUUAAAAACAAAAGGCACUCACUAUAAGUGUGCUGUAGUGUUAUAAUGGCUAUGAGGUCAUUAAGAGAUAGGAAUUUUUCAGCCCGUUAUAAUCUUAGGGGACUAUUGUAUACGCAGUCUAUCAUUGACUAAAAUAUUAUUAGGCAGUAUAUGACUGUACUUUUGUUUAAGAUCUUAUGACAAAUCCAAAUAAAAA